ACGAGUGCGAAAAGCACUCGUACAAAUAGAAAGUCUAAAUGAUUUAUAUAGCGUUAUUAUUUUCCAGACUAUGGAGAAUGGCAAAACGCGAUUUGGGGUUUAGCCAUGGCGAUGGCGAGGAUAUGAUGCAUUUCUUUACUUAUUGCACGGUAUCCUGCAGUGUGCGGUUUUGGAUAUAGCCGAUGUGUAGCUACAUCAUGUCUACCCCUGCACACGAGCCCGGAGGUUCUGAACGUCAGGGCUCAGGGCUCAGCCGAGGCUCUGUGCGCGCGCAGUCAGUGCGCUUUAAGCUCCGGUUCCGGUGGAUUCCCCACAGCAAACAGCCAUGUCGUGUCGAGCAGGGAUCUUUUACAGCAUGUAGCCUACAGGAGACACGAUCUAUAGGGUCAUGGGGGAGCCUAGAGCCUAUCCCAGGCGGGGGACCCCUGGACAGGAUGCCAACCCACUGCAGAGCACAACUGCACACCCAUUCACACACUACAGACAAUUUGGAAAUACCAAUCAGCCUACAGUGCAUGUGUUUGGACGGGGGGAGGAAACUGGGGUACCCAGAGGAAGCCUGGCGCACACAGGACAGAGGUGGGAUUCGAACCCCCAACCCAGAGGUGCGAGUUGCAGGUUUCCAGUUGGUUGGAGCUGGUCUGCAUGAGCACUGUCCUCUGGUCUUUUGUGCGGAGGUUUUCUAAAGGGGCUGUGACGAGUUAGACACAGGCGCCUCCAAGUGGUAUAUACACUACAUUACAACAUGCUAAAUCACACAGCACAAAAAGCACUGGCUUAUUUACCCUUACCUCAACCAAG
ensembl:lncRNA